CCCUCAACACACACACUAAUCUGCACAUUUCACCCGCGGAUUUGUGAGGGUGUCUGAGCCAGGCCUGGUGCUGCAGACCCAGCCGCGGGCAGUGUGAACCAGACCGCACCAACCAGCUUAUGGUCCAACUGGGGAGGACUCGACUUUGCACAAGAAAACCAGCCAAUGUACAAUUACAGAUUUUGGUGAACACUGGAAAAGGAAGACAUGAACAGGAGGAGGUUGUGAUGAAGAUAACGGGGCUGGCAGCGGCCCACAAAGGAAACCAGCUACUUGGGACAGCAUGUGAAGGCUGCCCCGAGAAGAUGAGGUUUGUGCCAAACUCUGAAGCUAGUUGGAGUUGACCUUCUGUCACUUGAAAUGGAAAAAGAUUAACCUAAUCACAGUUACCUUGCUGAAAUUUAGAAGAACCAGUCGGCAAAAUGACACAGGAACCAGUUGAAAACACCAGCGGACGGCACCCGAAGCAGCAGGAAAGAAGAGAAAGGUGCUCAAAGGCCAAACCCUCAGUACCAGAGACUUACAGCCAAGACCUCAGAGUCCAAGGAAAGUGGCUCAGAAGCCACGCCAGCUUCAUUCUGAAGUUCCCAGAGCUGUUUGUGGUCAGCAGUGCGGGCCAGAAUCUGCAGAAAGACCCAUGUUAGGACAAGCUUCUUGAACAUUUUGGCGAAGCCUCAUUGGACCUGUCAGCUGCUGAGAGGGCUGGGAAAAGAGAGCGCUGAAGGCUGUCUGUCACAUGCCCCCGACAUGAAAUCACUCCAGGGUUACUACCUCCCUUUGCCCACAGGACACAGCGCUCCUUGUGACCACACGGGGGCCACGGGCCAACCCCUCACAUCAGCAUGGCCCACCCUAGCUCACUGAUGCCCUUUGCCCUUCUCCAUUUGUUCUCACUGAAGCCCUGGAAUUAGGCGGCAGUACCAUCCCCAGUUUACAGAGGAGGAAACCCAGGCUGAAGAGAACCAUUUGCUCUAGGUCACUCCGCCUAGGAAGUGUUACAUUAAUGAAGGAGGGAGGCCUGAAUAAGCAAACUGUAAGCCAGGAAAUACCCCAAGGUUAUGAAAUUCAAACCCUAAGGACAACCAGUCACAAACAGCCAACUAGGCUUUAAGUGACAGUCAGUCAAAUAAUCUCUAUUCUUUGCUUCCUCACUUUCUCUACCUAUGUCUUUCCCCAGCUGCUGUCACAGGAACACUUAUAACCACUUCUCGUUUGGCACUGCCCAGUAGGAAUUGAUUUUUACCCCAAUAAACUCUUAAAUGUUUAAUCUCAGUUUAUCCUUUAGCAUCAGUGACUAGAGCCCAGAUUUUGUUUAAAAAAUUUUUGCGGGGGGAGAAGUAAUUAGGUGAAUUUAUUUAUUUAUCUUGUUUAAUGGAAGUACUGGGGAUUGGAAACCAGGACCUCGUGCAUGCUAAGCAGGCACUCUACCACUGAGCUAUAACCUCAGAGCCCAGAUUUUUUCAACCAUUAAUCCCUACAUUUGCAAUCAACCAUGGUCAAGUGGCCCCAGCAAAGGACCAAGAGUCUGGCAUGAGCCUAUUCCCUCUGACUGCAGGGUGCUCUGGCCUGGGCAUGUGCAUUCCUGGAUGUUCCAGUGAAGCAGCAUCAAGUCAUGGACCUCUCUGUAUCCUCUUUCCUUUCAAAACCCUGCUUAGGGGCCUGCCCACGUGGACAGAAGGCCGCUCCAAGCCCUCCUUCAGUCCCCACUUCCCCUACAGGGUUCAGGCCUCCGACUAGGAAGUUUUUACUUCAUUCUACUUGCUUUUUGUUUUGUUUGAAUGAGCUUUCUCAAAAAUAAGACUUACUUCCUCUCUUUCCAACAAGAAGUCAAACUCUGAAGGUUGUCGUUUAGAUUACAAAAAAGAAUCAUAUAUAUUUAAACAGAAAAUCAUGUUUUUCAAAUGCCUUGGUUUCAACACUGCCUUCCCAAACAAAGUUUUCUUCCGAGUCUUUUCCUGCUCUUUCGUGGUAGAGUGACCAUGUAAUUUAUUGUCCAAACAGGAGCCCUUUUAAGAAUGAAAGGGGACACUAUUAAUCCUGACACGGCCAUAUGAUCACCCUUCUUUGUAGAGGGAAGGGUUGUCAUCAUUUCUCGACAGGGCCCAGGAGAAUGCGGUGCACCACUUCCAGACAGCAAAUUGCAUUCGGGUACAUUAACGUCGGGC